CUUCCUCCUUCCACCCCUCACCCCGCCCCACCCCGAUCCUGGGGGUCCUGGCCCAGAGGCUUUUUCCUACCCUAGCCUGGUCUCUUGAAAAACAGAGAAGGAAGAGGAGGUUUUCCCUUCCUUUUAGUCUCUUAAUGAUCCACCUUGUCCCUCUAGGUCCCCAAAGUCUCCUGCACCUCAGGCUCUGGGACCACCUGUGCUGGCUCUUGGUUCUGUGAUCUGUGGUAGACCCUUUGGGGUUCUCAUGCAAGAGGAGCAAGCUGACUCCAGAGAUGAGAUUUGAACCUCACAUGAGAAAGACUUUCAAAUGUGUUAGCUUCAGUGGCACACACCAGACUGGGCUUGAACCAUCCUCAGAGCAGCUGUGUGGAGCCCUGGACUUUCAGACUGUGUCUCACAGGAUGAAGCAGGCAGUGCCCAAGGCUGGCUGGAGGCUGUGUCCAUCCAUCCAAAUGGAGGAUUUCCAACCCAGGAGAGCAGCGUGCACUGGGAAUCUUAGAGCUGCCCCUGCAGCAGAGUAUAAAUGGGGACCUGCUGAGCUACUGUUGUUGUCUGCUUCCUGCAUCUCGGCUGUCAGAGGUUGCUUCAUUCUUCCCUGCUCAAGACAACUGGCAGCCCAAAUCCAGAGUGUUGACCACUCAGGUUCUCUCUGUGUUGCAAGAAAGACAUUGUGUGAACAAAGUUUGGUGAUACCAUCACUAGCCGAG
rnacentral:lncRNA from 1 species